rnacentral:rRNA from 1 species
GGGGUACUCGAGUGGCGAACGGGUGAGUAACACGUGGGUGAUCUGCCCUGCACUUUGGGAUAAGCCUGGGAAACUGGGUCUAAUACCGAAUAUGAUCAUGGCCUUCAUGGGUUGUGGUGGAAAGCUUUUGCGGUGUGGGAUGGGCCCGCGGCCUAUCAGCUUGUUGGUGGGGUAAUGGCCUACCAAGGCGACGACGGGUAGCCGGCCUGAGAGGGUGUCCGGCCACACUGGGACUGAGAUACGGCCCAGACUCCUACGGGAGGCAGCAGUGGGGAAUAUUGCACAAUGGGCGCAAGCCUGAUGCAGCGACGCCGCGUGAGGGACGACGGCCUUCGGGUUGUAAACCUCUUUCAGCACAGACGAAGCGCGAGUGACGGUAUGUGCAGAAGAAGGACCGGCCAACUACGUGCCAGCAGCCGCGGUAAUACGUAGGGUCCGAGCGUUGUCCGGAAUUACUGGGCGUAAAGAGCUCGUAGGUGGUUUGUCGCGUUGUUCGUGAAAACUCACAACUCAAUUGUGGGCGUGCGGGCGAUACGGGCAGACUGGAGUACUGCAGGGGAGACUGGAAUUCCUGGUGUAGCGGUGGAAUGCGCAGAUAUCAGGAGGAACACCGGUGGCGAAGGCGGGUCUCUGGGCAGUAACUGACGCUGAGGAGCGAAAGCGUGGGGAGCGAACAGGAUUAGAUACCCUGGUAGUCCACGCCGUAAACGGUGGGUACUAGGUGUGGGUUUCCUUCCUUGGGAUCCGUGCCGUAGCUAACGCAUUAAGUACCCCGCCUGGGGAGUACGGCCGCAAGGCUAAAACUCAAAGGAAUUGACGGGGGCCCGCACAAGCGGCGGAGCAUGUGGAUUAAUUCGAUGCAACGCGAAGAACCUUACCUGGGUUUGACAUGCACAGGACGACGGCAGAGAUGUCGUUUCCCUUGUGGCCUGUGUGCAGGUGGUGCAUGGCUGUCGUCAGCU